AUUGGGGAUAUUCCUUGCAGACUUGAACGCAAAAAAAUACAAGCUCGAUAACGUACAGAUUCGUUGUUCCAAGAGUGAGGAUUUUAGAUAACUCAACGCAUCAACAGCUUUAUCGAGGCAAAAAGGAUGGCAUCUUGCGUGUCCAACGCUGGGUAUUAUUUAGAUAAAGAAACAGAUGAAUCAGGUAGGUUGACGCUUUUCAUCGUGCAUUUAGGCUAUCUACUGGGCUGAUGUUUGUAAAGAUGUAUCCCUCAGGAAAAAUACAAAGAUCAAACAAAAAAAAAUUGUACAGACAUAUGAGGCAAAAAACGACAUGAAGCCUGCUAGCGAAUCAGAUCAUUCUCUGAAUGCCUCUGCAACAGAAUCUCCAGAAAAAAUGAACAACGCCAAUAGUCAUGUUUCGGAAAUUAGUCAUUCGGACACUUUACCGCCUGGACUUCCAGAAGUAGUAGAGUCUAGAUUUCAGGCGCUAGAAAGGCAUUUUUAUUCGAACAUAUCUGUCCGAUCCGUACCUAGAGAUGUCUAUACGCGUUUGAAGCGUCUAGAAGACAGAGCACUUGCUCUGGAAAGGAGGGGUAUCUGGCCGCCUAAAAGCAAUGAUUUUUCCAACGAUCUAGAGCCUCUCAAAGACAGAAAGGAGUCACUGGACGAUCGCAUAAGACAACUUCAAGACCUUUUACCCCGUCAGAUUGCGAAGACGCCCUCAGAGAAAAUCACAGGCACUGAUCAAUACCGCUAGAUUCUGGUUCUAUUUUUGCUACAUUUAUGUCGUGCUGCAUAACGUAUGGAACGAACACGUACGUUUCUUUUUUUUGAAUGACAAAGGAGGCGUCUGUGUUGCUUUUACUCAUGGAGGUGGCGAGGACUUCUACUUUCUAAUCCCCUGCUCUCUAUAUCUAUCAGAAAGAGCUACCAAAAAAUGUUUUUCAAACAGGAUAGAAGGAGUGUGAAAACAGCCUGCAAGUGCACCUUGUAACGCAUUUUUUUCGAACAACACAAUUAUGCAAUCCAAUUGUACCAUCACAAUAUAGGAAUUUAUCAAAAUGAAAAAAGUAGCGCCGCCAACGAACAAGUGUGGGUUGUUAGUGCCGCUUUCAAACAGUCUCAGUCGCGCAUACGUUGAGUGAAGACAGAGCACCACUAGAGAACUCCAGAAAGGAGUGAUCGAGAUCGCACUACGGUAAUGUGUUGUACUGUGCAUGGAUACGUGGUAUACAUUUCUGCAAGACUGAUUUUUCAGUUGGGCUAUUCGUGCUCAGACGGUUGAUAUAAUCGAUACGAUCCACAUUUGAAAGGCGUGAAUGAAAGGAUGAUGCAAAUCAAAAAUAAUAACUGGCUAAUGUGUUCUACUCUACUAUGAGGCGAACCGCAUUUAUACGGGUGCAUUUUUUU